UACGUAGGGGGCAAGCGUUGUCCGGAAUCAUUGGGCGUAAAGAGCGUGUAGGCGGUCCGGUAAGUCGGCUGUGAAAGUCCAGGGCUCAACCCUGGGAUGCCGGUCGAUACUGCCGGACUAGAGUUCGGAAGAGGCGAGUGGAAUUCCCGGUGUAGCGGUGAAAUGCGCAGAUAUCGGGAGGAACACCAAUGGCGAAGGCAGCUCGCUGGGACGUUACUGACGCUGAGACGCGAAAGCGUGGGGAUCAAACAGGG
rnacentral:rRNA from 1 species